AAGUUCGGGGCUCAACCCUGAAUCUGCCGCGGCGACUGUGGGGCUUGGGCACUGUAGAGGCAGAUGGAAUUCCGGGUGUAGCGGUGGAAUGCGUAGAGAUCCGGAAGAACACCGGUGGCGAAGGCGGUCUGCUGGGCAGUGGACCCGUGAGGGUCCAAUAGCCGACACUGAUGCGCGACAGCGUGGGGAGCAAACAGG
rnacentral:rRNA from 1 species